rnacentral:tRNA from 1 species
CAAUCUGAAGUUUAUAAGUUAAAUAUUUCAUUUACAUUGAAAAGAUUUCUGUGCAAGUCAGUGCAGGUUGA